rnacentral:tRNA from 1 species
GAGAGGCUCGAUAGCAAUGGGGACUGCUAAUCUUCAUCAUCCCGGUUAAACCCCGGGACUCACUC